GCUAAUCCCGUGCCAGCGGGCGCUGUGAUGCUGGGGGUGCAAGCGGUAUACGGAUUUAUUGGGUUUAAAGGGUCCGUAGGCGGAUCUAUAAGUCAGUGGUGAAAUCUCACAGCUUAACUGUGAAACUGCCGUUGAGACUGUAGGUCUUGAGUAAAUUUGAAGGGGCUGGAAUAAGUAGUGUAGCGGUGAAAUGCAUAGAUAUUACUUAGAACACCAGUUGCGAAGGCAGGUCACUAAGAUUUAACUGACGCUGAGGGACGAAAGCGUGGGGAGCGAACAGGAUUAGAUACCCUUGUAGUC
rnacentral:rRNA from 1 species